UGUGAUUUAACUGUCAAAGCCGGAAUGUUUAAAGCAUACAUCCCGCCCAAGGCAUGCUGGGAUGAUCUCCUAUCAGGCAGCUUGGAAACUUCCAGACGCCGAUAUGCCUUACGUUCGGUGCAGCCGAGGUUAUGAACUGUCAAGUGGAAUAUGCCCCUUGAGGAAAACAAUUAGGAUCGACUGUCCAGCGAGGAGAUUGCGGAAUCAGCAACUGACAUAUUGACUGAUGAAACAUGAUGGUGCGUGCAGCAAGAGAGGGUUUGACUGCAGAUCCUGACCACCUGCUCCUGUAAAUUUGUACCAACCACAGGCGAAAACAAGAAGAAACGCUUUGAAUACCUGCGGUCUUCUAUCAGCUAGACAAGUCUCUGAAGCUAUAAAUCAAUAAACUUUGAU